rnacentral:rRNA from 1 species
CUGGCUCAGGAUGAACGCUGGCGGCGUGCCUAACACAUGCAAGUCGAGCGAUUACUUCGGUAAAGAGCGGCGGACGGGUGAGUAACGCGUGGGUAACCUGCCUCAUACACGUGGAUAACAUACCGAAAGGUAUGCUAAUACAGGAUAAUAUAAGAGGUUCACAUGGAUUUCUUAUCAAAGCUCCGGCAGUAUGAGAUGGACCCGCGUCUGAUUAGCUAGUUGGUAAGGUAAUGGCUUACCAAGGCGACGAUCAGUAGCCGACCUGAGAGGGUGAUCGGCCGCAUUGGAACUGAGACACGGUACCAAACUCCUACGGGAGGCAGCAGGUGGGGAAUAUUGCACAAGUGGGACGAAAGCCUGAUGCAAGCAACGCCGCGUGAGUGAUGAAGGCCGUUCGGGUACGUAAAACUCUGUCCUCAAGGAAGAUAAUGACGGUACUUGAGGAGGAACGCCCCGGCUAACUACGUGCCAGCAGCUGC